UACGUAGGGUGCGAGCGUUGUCCGGAAUUACUGGGCGUAAAGAGCUCGUAGGCGGUUUGUCGCGUCGUCCGUGAAAACUUGAGGCUCAACCCCAAGCUUGCGGGCGAUACGGGCAGACUUGAGUACUGCAGGGGAGACUGGAAUUCCUGGUGUAGCGGUGGAAUGCGCAGAUAUCAGGAGGAACACCGAUGGCGAAGGCAGAUCUCUGGGCCGUAAACUGACGCUGAGGAGCGAAAAGCAUGGGGAGCGAAACAGG
rnacentral:rRNA from 1 species